rnacentral:rRNA from 1 species
UACGUAGGGUGCGAGCGUUAAUCGGAAUUACUGGGCGUAAAGCGUGCGCAGGCGGCGCGUUAAGACAGAUGUGAAAUCCCCGGGCUCAACCUGGGAACUGCAUUUGUGACUGCAUCGCUGGAGUGCGGCAGAGGGGGAUGGAAUUCCGCGUGUAGCAGUGAAAUGCGUAGAUAUGCGGAGGAACACCGAUGGCGAAGGCAGGUCUCUGGGCCGAUACUGACGCUGAGGAGCGAAAGCGUGGGGAGCGAACAGG